CCAGGGCGACAGCAAGACUCUGUCUCAAAAAACAAAAACAAAAACAAAACCUUUUUAUUAUGAAAAUCUUAAGCAUAUAAAAAUUAGAGAAUAGUAUAAUGAGUCCCCAAGUAACAUUACUCAGCUAUAGAAGACAUCAGCAUUUCACUAAUUUUGUUUCAUAUAUGUCCUCUACUUUUUUUUUACUUAAGUAUUUUAAGGUAAACCCAGAUAUUAUAUCAUUUUACUCAUAAAUACUAUAAUGCCUUGCUUCAGUACGAAGGACUUAAAAAAAUCAGUGUCAUUAUGAUUAUCAUGAACUUGAAAAAAACAAAAAUAAUUCUUUUAUAACAGUGUGUGUUUCUGUUUUUCUUAUUGUCUCCAAAUUGUUUUACAGUGCAUUUUGUUCAAACCAAUAUCAAAAUAAGUGUCUGCCUCUUAAGUCUCUUAAACUAUAAUUCCCCUUCUUUUGAUAAUAAUUUACUUGUUUUAGAAACUAGGCCUACAUUUGCCCUGUAGAAUUUUUCAUACCCUUGACUGGGCAGAUAGCUUCUGCAUAGUUGUGCAGAGCCAUAUGGGAGCCUGAGGGAAGAAGAAAAACCAGUGAUACUGGCCCUGACUUUAUUUAAAAUCAUGUUAUUAUAUUCAUCCUAAUUUUUUUGCAUUCAUUUUGAUUUAGGAAAAUAUGUAUUAAAAUAUUUAUGUCUGUUACCGUAUUUUUUGUCACACCCUUAAAUUUUGCACUUGGGGCAAGUGCCUCAUUGCUUUGUUCUAGGUGCAGCCAUGAGUUGCUUAAUUUGUUCCUCUAUCCCCCCUGUGUCUUGUCAGCUGGCAAUUAGAUCCACAUUCUAGAGCUUUCCUGUUCGCAGUGUGGUCCAGCAGCAUAAGGAUCUACUGGAAGCUUCUUAGAAAUACAGACUCUUAGGCCACAUCCUGAACCUACUGAGUCACAAUCUGCUUUUUAACCAGAUCCCCAAAUGAUGUGUAUGUUCAUUGAAGUUUGAGAAGCACUGAGUGGAGGCAUAAUUAGAUUCCAGUGCAGUUUAUUUGGCAAGGAUCUUAUAGGCCUGUGGUGAAUUCCUUACUUGUAAAACUUUAAGAGGCAUGUAGUAUCUGGGUCUCUUGUUAUUGGUGAUAUCAAGAUUGAUACAAUACAGUAGAUUCAGAUGUGAUCAUCUUGACCCAUCCAUGAGAAAGUUAGGAUCACUUCUGAGAGUUCUGUAGAGUGAAAUGCUUAGGAAAGGGGGCUCUAGAGCCCAAUUUUAUGGAUUUGAAUCUUGACUUUACACAGCAGUGUGACUCUAGAUAGCUACUUAACUGCUCUGUGCUUCAAUUCUCUACCUGUAAACUGGAGAUAAUAGUAGUACCCAUUUCGUUGGGUUGUCAUGCAGAUUUUUUUUAGAAUAAUGCCUGGCACAAAGAAAGCCCUCAAUCAGAAAUAACACUUCUUUUCUUCUUUUGUCUUUUCCCUCCUUAACAGAGAAUGCAUCCUUACAAAGAUAUCAUUUGAGUUGAGCCUUGCAGAAUGAGUGGGACAGUGUUCCAGGUGAUAUUAGUUACUUAAUUAUAGGCAGAAAAUGGAAAUUCACUUCCUAUUUUUGGAGAGUGGCAAAGAAUUAGACUUGACUGUAAAGUUGCAUGUUUUCUGGAGGAUGGGGAAAAUCUAGUUGAUGGAAGGCUUUGGAUAUCGGAAGCCUGUAGUAUUUGGGGAACAGUGAGAAAUUUUAAGGGUAAGAGAAUGUCAUGAACAAAGUAGCACUCGAGAAGUUUAAUGCAGCACCCCUGUGCAGGAUACAUUUGAAGGAAAAGAGUCUGAAGGUUAAGAGUGCAUUUAAAUAGUUUACACAAAAGGUAAUAAAGGCCUAAGCCAGAGAGUUGGCAGUAGGAAUGGAAGAACUAGUGGGUGGAUAUGAGACCGUGAUAGUGUAAUGAGCAUGAGUGCCAAAGUCAGGGGGUGUGUCUGCUUUGGGUUUUGCUGCUUACUAGCUAUGUGGCCUUUAUCAAGUUACUUAACCACCUGAACCUCUGAGCCUUGGUUUUCUUAUACGUGUAAUGGGAAUAAUUACACCUGUUUGCCAGGUUAGUUGCAAGGAUUAAAUAGGUGUGUCAAGUGCCUGGUACUGUGCUCAGCUUAUAGGUAGCCCUCAAUAAAUGUUAGUUAUUAUUACUAGGUAAUUGACUGGGCAUGUGAUUGAAGGAGAGGAAAGUAGUAGAAAUGAUUCUUUAGCUUCAAGACUAGGAUAAUUGGUGAUAUAGAAAUUGCAACAUACUUGCACGGGAGAAUUGGUUUAAGGAGGAGAUAUUAUAUUCUGUUUAGAUAUGUUGAGUUUGGGACCCUGACAGGAUGUCCCGGGGAAAUGUGUUGGAUGCCGGGGUAAAUUAUGCAUGGGCACACAUGACUAGAUUCAUAGAUUUGCCUUUGGUGCAGAUUAUGGUUUCAAUAAUGGUUUGUGCCCCGUUUUUCAUUACCUCUGGGGUUUCUGACAAAGCAGAUGUUUUACCUUGACAUCAGUUCAGAUUAGACUCUGACUUUGCAGUCAGUGGUCUGGGGCCUGGCUGCUUCAUCCACAGCUGAAGGUAGGGAGGUUUUGUUCCCCCUUGUGGCUUUUCCUCAUUUCAGAUUGUGUUGACAUUUUAAGAAAGCAGUUUGUUUUGCUUUUUAGCCAUUUCAAAGUUUAUCUUUUUCUCUCUGUGCACAGACUCAUGCUGAAAUUAGGGUGUUAAUGGGUGCUAUUUAAAGGAGCUCAUUUAUGGGCAAUUAAAUAACAUGCCUGUCAGCCCAGAUUUGAUAGGGAAUAGGGGAACCUUUUAAAAUUUUAUUUUAAGUACAAUGAAGUUUAAUUAUAUUUCCUUUUCUUUCAACUCUUUUGUUACGUUAUCUAGAAAACAGAUUUCUUCUUCUUUUUUUUUUUUUUAAAUCUAUAUAUUUAUUUUGCUUCCUCUCCUGUCUUGGGAGUGGUGGGCUGAGAUGGGUAGCCCGUAUAUUUAAGUUACAUUCUGUAUUUUAAGGGAGUUUUAUAUCAAUGGUUUUAGAUGUUCCAAGCAUUACAGAAAGAAUAAUGUAGCUGAUGCUAAAACUAGCCCCUCUGUAGGUAGUAACUGACAUCUCAAACAUUUCAUGUCCCAGAACAGCAAAAAGACGACAGUAGUAGCAACUAACUUAUGUGUUUAAAGGCCGGAAGUUUUCCUGAUCUGUCAUGUAUCCUGGAACCCAAAGUAAAUAUCAUUUCAUGCACACUAUUUAUGGAGAACAACUUGUGGGGCAGAGGGACGCAGGGACUCUCUCAUCCUAUUCUUUCUUCUGGAGCAUCCGUCAAGAUCUCCAUGCAAUCUGUUUUCUCUUUCUCUCUCUCUCUUUUU